AGAUUUUAUGGUUCAAAUUCCUGCAGCCUGGGAAACUCUCAGUCCAGGGCAAAACUGGAUGUGGGUUACCCUGGUUUGGGGGGCAGAGAGAGAGUGAGGUCUGGACACACAGGAAGGGAGAGGAGGCCCACAGGGAACCAGAGCAAAAGAACCAACGUGCUGAGCAGAGUUCAAUGACUUAUUUCUACACCUGAAACAAGGGCUGGGGCUGGUUCAUCCCCAGGUUGCCCACCAGGGAAGCCAGCAAGAUCAAGCUUUCAGAUGCUGAAAUUGGCAGACCAGGGCUUAAAUUUUUGGAGUCUGCAUUUUCUUAGCUGUAAAAUGGGCCAAUGAACCAUAUUUUCUUCACUGUUAUUAAAAGGGUUAAACGAGAGAAGAAAUGUACUCAGCACUAUGCCUGCUGCAUAGUAAGUAAACAGGGGUAGACUGAAGCAAUGGAAGAAGACUCAUAUGGUUUUCACCACCACAUCGGCCCUGCGACCACACCUGAGACCGUGUCUGCAGCCACAGCCCUGCUACUGGAGAUGGACCAUCCCCGGCUCCUGGUUCAAGUCAACACCACGCCCUCUCAUCCACACGAGGAUGGGGCUUCUCUCAUUUCUCUUCGGCUGCAUUAUUCUUCCAUUAUUACCUCACUUUCAUUAGCAUACAAACAUUUCUCAUCUUUCCCAUCAUAAAGAAUUUCCCCUGAGCCUGCUUCCUCUUACAGCUACCACUCCAUUUCUUUGCCUCCCUGAGGAACAAAAUACUCAAGACUUGUUUAUACUUGUUGUCUCCUUUUUCUCAUCUCACUCCUCUCAUUUUUCUUUUCAUUGUGAAAUGUAAAGCAUGUAAAAAGUGCUUGAAACAUUAAUGCAUUCAUAUAACCCAACAAUUCCACUCCUGGGUAUAUACCCAAAGGAAUUAAAAGCAAGGACUCAGAGUAUGCUGACAUUGUCCCACCGUGUUCACAGCACACGUUCGCCACAACCAAAAGUUGGAAACAACACGCAUCCACUGAUGGAUGAACCGAUAAAUAAUAUUUGGUAUAUCUGUACAAUGAAAUACUAUUCAGUCAUACAAAGGAAUGAAAUUCUGAUACCUGCUACAACAUGGAUAAAUCUUGAAAACACUGCGCUAAGUGAAAUAAGCCAGACACAAAAGGACAAGUAUUGUGUGAUUCUACUAUGAGACAUAUCCUGAAUAAACAAAUUCAUAGAGACAGAAGGUAGAAGAGAGGUUAUUAGGGACUGAG